rnacentral:rRNA from 1 species
AUUGAACGCUGGCGGCAUGCUUUACACAUGCAAGUCGAACGGUAACAGGCCUUCGGGUGCUGACGAGUGGCGAACGGGUGGGUAAUGCAUCGGAACGUACCCAGAGGUGGGGGAUAACGCAGCUAAAGCUGUGCUAAUACUGCAUGUGAUCUGAGGUUGAAAGCGGGGGACCGGGCAGCAAUGUUUGGCCUCGCGCCUUUGGAGCGGCCGCGGUUGGUUUAGAUAGUUGGGGGGGGAAAGGCCUACCAAGGCGACGAUCCGUAGCUGGUCUGAGAGGACGGCCAGCCACACGGGGGCGGGGACAGGGACCUGACUCCUGCGGGAGGCAGCAGUGGGGAAUUUUAGACAAUGGGCGCAAGCCUGAUCCAGCAAUGCCGCGUGCGAGAAGAAGGCCUUGGGGUUGUAAACCGCUUUUGGCAGGAACGAAACGGUGUCCGCUAAUACCGGGCGCUAAUGACGGUACCUGCAGAAUAAGCACCGGCUAACUACGUG